GGCGUUCCCUUGUCCAGGUGUACAAGAUGCCUGUUUUUUGUGAAGGCAUGUUUAAGGUCAUGGGUUCGAGACCUGUGCAAAGCCU
rnacentral:tRNA from 1 species